UUAAAUUGAAGAGUUUGAUCAUGGCUCAGAUUGAACGCUGGCGGCAGGCCUAACACAUGCAAGUCGAACGGUAACAGGAAGCAGCUUGCUGCUUUGCUGACGAGUGGCGGACGGGUGAGUAAUGUCUGGGAAACUGCCUGAUGGAGGGGGAUAACUACUGGAAACGGUGGCUAAUACCGCAUAACGUCGCAAGACCAAAGAGGGGGACCUUCGGGCCUCUUGCCAUCAGAUGUGCCCAGAUGGGAUUAGCUAGUUGGUGAGGUAACGGCUCACCAAGGCGACGAUCCCUAGCUGGUCUGAGAGGAUGACCAGCCACACUGGAACUGAGACACGGUCCAGACUCCUACGGGAGGCAGCAGUGGGGAAUAUUGCACAAUGGGCGCAAGCCUGAUGCAGCCAUGCCGCGUGUAUGAAGAAGGCCUUCGGGUUGUAAAGUACUUUCAGCGGGGAGGAAGGUGUUGUGGUUAAUAACCGCAGCAAUUGACGUUACCCGCAGAAGAAGCACCGGCUAACUCCGUGCCAGCAGCCGCGGUAAUACGGAGGGUGCAAGCGUUAAUCGGAAUUACUGGGCGUAAAGCGCACGCAGGCGGUCUGUCAAGUCGGAUGUGAAAUCCCCGGGCUCAACCUGGGAACUGCAUUCGAAACUGGCAGGCUUGAGUCUUGUAGAGGGGGGUAGAAUUCCAGGUGUAGCGGUGAAAUGCGUAGAGAUCUGGAGGAAUACCGGUGGCGAAGGCGGCCCCCUGGACAAAGACUGACGCUCAGGUGCGAAAGCGUGGGGAGCAAACAGGAUUAGAUACCCUGGUAGUCCACGCCGUAAACGAUGUCUACUUGGAGGUUGUGCCCUUGAGGCGUGGCUUCCGGAGCUAACGCGUUAAGUAGACCGCCUGGGGAGUACGGCCGCAAGGUUAAAACUCAAAUGAAUUGACGGGGGCCCGCACAAGCGGUGGAGCAUGUGGUUUAAUUCGAUGCAACGCGAAGAACCUUACCUGGUCUUGACAUCCACAGAACUUUCCAGAGAUGGAUUGGUGCCUUCGGGAACUGUGAGACAGGUGCUGCAUGGCUGUCGUCAGCUCGUGUUGUGAAAUGUUGGGUUAAGUCCCGCAACGAGCGCAACCCUUAUCCUUUGUUGCCAGCGGUUAGGCCGGGAACUCAAAGGAGACUGCCAGUGAUAAACUGGAGGAAGGUGGGGAUGACGUCAAGUCAUCAUGGCCCUUACGACCAGGGCUACACACGUGCUACAAUGGCGCAUACAAAGAGAAGCGACCUCGCGAGAGCAAGCGGACCUCAUAAAGUGCGUCGUAGUCCGGAUUGGAGUCUGCAACUCGACUCCAUGAAGUCGGAAUCGCUAGUAAUCGUGGAUCAGAAUGCCACGGUGAAUACGUUCCCGGGCCUUGUACACACCGCCCGUCACACCAUGGGAGUGGGUUGCAAAAGAAGUAGGUAGCUUAACCUUCGGGAGGGCGCUUACCACUUUGUGAUUCAUGACUGGGGUGAAGUCGUAACAAGGUAACCGUAGGGGAACCUGCGGUUGGAUCACCUCCUUACCUUAAAGAA
rnacentral:rRNA from 3 species